UUGGGAGACUUCUGGCCGUUUCCUCCUCUGGGAAGUUGAGUAAGCGCGGCUCGGCCAAUGGGAGGCGCCUCCCUGCCGUGACGUCACGCGCUGACUCACGCCAUUGGCUCCGGACGGGUCGGAGCGGAGGAGGUUUUUUUUCCCCUCCCCUCCCCCGCACUCUGCCUUCCUUUUAAAUAAAUUAGAAGUUAAUGACACGGGCAGCGAGCGGAGCUGUGUGAUUAGGGAGCUUUCCAGCGCUGUAACUUUGCCAAAACAGGAAAGUCAGCGGAGUAAUUAGGGCCGAUGAUACGAAGAGGAAGCUCGGAGAGGGCAGAUCCCACCCCCAUCCUGCUCGCUCGCUCGCUCUCUGGAAAACUCCUGCCUUCCCGAAAGCGAAAUCUGCCGGCCAGCAAGAGUCCUGGCCGGUGAGCCCUGGCAACCCAACGCUCAAGAGCGCACCGAGGCCCUGCCAAGGUCAUCGACUUAUUAUAUAAUACUCAGAGUCUCCCGAAAUAAAAUACCAAUGUAUGCCCCCCGCGGGCCAUCUUGCCUGUUCCAGGGGCGCCAACGUGGCGCGUUCAGGCAGCGAUCGCCCACAGCCCAUAGUAGCCUAAGGGGGCCCAUCACCACCAUCAAUAAGAUCUUCCUCCCAAGAAGGGGAAUCGGGGGGCAGGGGGUGUCUUGUAGGGACCCCAGGAAGGGUGGCAGCGAAGCGAUGGCACGUUUCACUUCCAGGUUACAGAGGGGCGGCUGGGUGGGUGAAAUGGACGUAGUGGUCAAGGUUCUGUGCGCGCCUUUAUCGGUAAGGGAAGCGGCCUCCUUUCCAAGCGCCCCUCCAGAACAUUGCAAAUCAUGCUGGAGAAUAAACACGGGCGCAGGGAAGGUGCGCUUCCAAAUUCCGAAGGGGACAGAUGACUUUUAUUUUGGGGAGUUGGAGACCCAGCAUUCUUUUCCAGACAGGGCCUUUCAGAUCUCUACGACCAGUGCUUUGAACGCGGUAAGCGGAUAGUCCAGAGCAGCUGAGUGAACCGGAGAGGAAGGGGUGGGGCAGGGGCAUCAAAAGGCAGACCAUUUGGGAUUUAAUCCGCUCCAAUAAACUCCUCUGCACAACAUCUCUAGACAGUCCUUUGGAUGGAUCGUAUUAGCAGUAAGGGAGGACUCCUUUACUGCUUACUAACCUCUCCCUGCAGCUGCGCCUAACCCUUGAUGACAAACAGAUGCAUCUUUAAUAAGCCGGGAGCCUGACUCUGCACUCCUUCAUCGGCCAGCGCAUCAAACAGCCUCCAGGAUGCCCGCGUAUGUCCUCGUCCCACUUUUCGACUUCAUCCCAUUUAAGCCAACGAGAUGCGGAAGGUAGUUUGCAUCAAGCCAUGGCCCCACGGCAGUACUUUCUCACAAUUACCAAAGUGCCCACUGACCCAAUGUCAUCCCUGGUUGAAAGUGUCUCAAAAAAUAUCCACCAUUUUCCCGCUUAGAAGGUUGAUUAGAAAGUUUGUUUAAACCAGCAGCGAGGGAGAAAGACAUAAGCAGAUUAAUGCAGAGCUGAGAUGGAAGGGGUUUAUGAAUAGACGUGCAAAAUGUACAUGGACUGGAAAUUCACUGAUUCAUCCAUCCCUACUUGGAAGGAGGGGGAAGCUCUUGUAGGCACCUGCUUACACUGAAUCAUGGCCUGAAAGCCAGGAAGGGGCGGAGCGUCCAGCUCUCCAUCUGAGCUACAGCUCUGUUGGGGCUUUCUGCUAAACAUCUGUGAAGCUUAUUUGCUGUCAGGUUUGUAUGUACUGAACCUCUCCAGAAGUGGGGAAACAGCUGGCAUUCAAAUACCAAGUAAAAAUGGGCUCAUUCUGGCAUGCACAGAGCAUAGCCAAUUAUUGAAUAUUUGGUUUGUCUGGAAACUGUUUGCAUUUAUUUUUAAUUGUCCUGUUCUUAAAUUUGGUUGUUUAUGGCCUUCGGCAUCCUAUUAGUGGAUGGAAUGGCGGUGGUGGGGGAUAAUUUCAACGUAACAAAAAAGGACUGUUUCUUUUCCAAAUUAAUAAUCAUGCAUAUGUCUAGGAGCAAACCUUCUCACCCUACAAUUCAUUUCCUCCCUGAAACAUCUUUGCUGCAUCCCCUACUGAAACCUAAAAUCGUGUUCCUGCCCUUACUGUUCAGACUGUUUUAAAGUGACUGGUUACAAUAUUUUAAAGUAAAUGAGAUCUUUAGAGAAUACAAAUAAAUAAAUAAUAGAAUUUAGCUAUAGAAUAGCUAGAUUUCAAGGAGAAAUUGUAGAGGACAAUGCCAAACUAUUGAAGAAAAAAUAUAGUUUUUUGCUGGAAUGGGAAACAAAAGAUGAAGAAGUCAAAUAUGUAAUGAUUAAGCAGGCAAGAGAUCUGGGACAUAAUAUUCAAAUGAGUGACUGGGAAAAACUUUGGAAGGUGGAUUUGAAAUUUACUGCAUGUACAACACUGAAAGAGAAAUGGAAAUGGUGUACCGUUGGUGCACAAUACCAGUAAAACUGGCAAAAAUGUAUAGAACAAGUUCCAAUAAGUGUUGGAAAUGUAAAGAAAAAGA